rnacentral:tRNA from 1 species
GUAGCCCGGAGGUCAGUGGCCGAGCGUGCGGACUGUUCCGGACGGUCCAGCGAUCGUUCGGGACCUACGGAUCAGAUGGAUAGGGGUUCGAAUCCCUUCGGGUGCA